UUGAAUUAGCCAAGAGCGAGGUCGAGCGCGGGCCAGGCCUAUGUAGGGGACCCUCCCUCGUCAGGGCAAAGGGGCUGCCCCCUUCCCUGGCAGCCCCACACCACGCAGACAGGCAGAGAGCCUGCGUAGUGCCUGCCCGCAGAGCGGCCUCUUCCCCAGUGCGCUGGGGUGCAGGGGCGCCAGAGGCUUCCGCCCUGAUGUCUCUGAGGCGUUCACACACCCUUGCCCACGAACAGACCUGUGUGCCCUGUGCCUAGGAGCGUGCAGGGGAGCCAUGCCCAUCUCCACCCCCAUGCCUGCCUGCCUCCUCACCCAAGCCAAAACACACAUGCCUGCGUGCCCAUGCCUGCUGCCCACCCAUGCCCACCUACAUGCAUAUGCCUGCUCACUCAUACCCAUCUGCCUGCUCACCCUUGUGCACAUACACCAAUGCUCCUCAGCAUAGGGGGCAGCAACAUGUGCUCUGGCAUGCCUUGUGCAAGUGGAAACACAGCAGGGGGUGUGUGGGGUUUUCAGCAAGCCAUGAAGUCGAUGCACCAUCCCUCUUGCUUUGUCAGAGCUGCCUUUUGACUCCCACAAAGAGAGGCUCUGCCCUGCAGGCCUGUGCCUCUGUCAGGGAAGUCACUGCAGUACCAGCGCAACAAGCUAGAUAUAACACAGAGAAUCAGGCUCUUUGUGACAAGACUGCUCCCCUACUUGCUCCAUGACCUCCUGUGUGAAUGUGGAAUGAGGAUCCUGGGCACCCAUAACAAUAGCUGGCAAUUCCGUAAAGUCUCGGAGCUGCCUCGUGGGCAAGUGUCUGCUCAUCACCAUUCACCAACAGGAUCCUCUUCUCAGGUGGCUGCUCCUCAGGCUGGCGGGCGAUCAGUAGGCGGCAAGUGAGCAGGAUCCCAAAGACCAGGGC